rnacentral:rRNA from 1 species
UACGUAGGGGGCAAGCGUUGUCCGGAUUUAUUGGGCGUAAAGAGCGUGUAGGCGGCCAGACAGGUCCGUUGUGAAAACUCGAGGCUCAACCUCGAGACGUCGACGGAAACCGUCUGGCUAGAGUCCGGAAGAGGAGUGUGGAAUUCCUGGUGUAGCGGUGAAAUGCGCAGAUAUCAGGAAGAACACCGAUGGCGAAGGCAGCACUCUGGGACGGUACUGACGCUGAGACGCGAAAGCGUGGGGAGCGAACAGG